UGCGGAGGACACGCGAUCGCGGGAAGAAGUCGAAAGGCUCUUUCUGAGGAAAGUCCGAGCUCCAACGGGAAAGAAUAACGGAUAACGUCCGCCGAGGGCAACCUCCGGGACAGUGCAACAGAAAAUAACGUCGGGCAUCCGCCCGUCACGGUGAAAAGGUGAGGUAAGAGCUCACCGGGGGGUCGGUAACGGCACCCGUCAGUGUAAACCCUAUUCGGAGCAAUUCCGCAAAAAAGACAGAAAGCCCCGAGCUUUCAGCGCCACCCGUCGCGUCUUACAGGAAGCUGGAGAUACGGAGCAAUUCGUAUUCGAGAUAGAUGAUACGCGUAGAUACAAAACUCGGCUUAUUAUCCUCCGCUUUUU
rnacentral:RNase_P_RNA from 1 species